UUGCAAUUAUGAUGAUAAUUCCUAGGUAUUUGCAAGCUUAACAUUCAACGGCACUUAGUCACUCACUAUUACCAAAAACCACAAAUCAUACAAUUGCUUUAAGUAUCCAAUAUUUGCAAGUUAAAGAUAGAAAGAAUUUAUACUUACAUGCAUAUAUUUGACUCCAAAUACUCACCAAAUUAUUCUACUCAACUAAUAUUGAACAAUAAGCUAUUGGGAUCAUUGGGGCUUUGUGGCUUUCAAUUGUUAGGCUUUUUGGUCCGAGGUAGGUAAUAUGGG
rnacentral:lncRNA from 1 species